rnacentral:rRNA from 1 species
AAAGCUCAAAUUUGAAAUCUGGCGGCUCCGUCGCCCGAGUUGUAUUCUGGAGAAGCGUUUUCCGCGUCGGACCGUGUACAAGUGCCUUGGAACAGGACGUCAUAGAGGGUGAGAAUCCCGUCUUUGACACGGACGCCCGAUGCUCUGUGAUGCGCUCUCGAAGAGUCGAGUUGUUUGGGAAUGCAGCUCAAAACGGGUGGUAAAUUCCAUCUAAAGCUAAAUAUUGGCGAGAGACCGAUAGCGAA